rnacentral:misc_RNA from 1 species
GAUGAAGAACGCAGCGAAAUGCGAUAAGUAAUGUGAAUUGCAGAAUUCAGUGAAUCAUCGAAUCUUUGAACGCACAUUGCGCCCCUUGGUAUUCCGAGGGGCAUGCCUGUUCGAGCGUCAUUAUAACCCCUCAAGCUCAGCUUGGUGUUGGGGCCUGCUGCACUGGCAGCCCUUAAAAUCAGUGGCGGCGCCAUCUGGCUCUAAGCGCAGUAAUUCUUCUCGCUAUGGAGUCCUGGUGGAUGCUUGCCAUCAACCCCCAAUUUUUCUAUGGUUGACCUCGGAUCAGGUAGGGAUACCCGCUGAACUUAAGCAUAUCAAUAAGCGGAGGA